UAGGGAAUCUUCGGCAAUGGACGAAAGUCUGACCGAGCAACGCCGCGUGAGUGAAGAAGGUUUUCGGAUCGUAAAACUCUGUUGUUAGAGAAGAACAAGGACGUUAGUAACUGAACGUCCCCUGACGGUAUCUAACCAGAAAGCCACGGCUAACUACGUGCCAGCAGCCGCGGUAAUACGUAGGUGGCAAGCGUUGUCCGGAUUUAUUGGGCGUAAAGCGAGCGCAGGCGGUUUCUUAAGUCUGAUGUGAAAGCCCCCGGCUCAACCGGGGAGGGUCAUUGGAAACUGGGAGACUUGAGUGCAGAAGAGGAGAGUGGAAUUCAUGUGUAGCGGUGAAAUGCGUAGAUAUAUGGAGGAACACCAGUGGCGAAGGCGGCUCUCUGGUCUGUAACUGACGCUGAGGCUCGAAAGCGUGGGGAGCAAACAGG
rnacentral:rRNA from 1 species